AAAAACAAAAACCAUCAAACAGAUCACCAUCUCCUUUUAGUUAAUCUCAUACUUCCUAUUUAGGAAAUAUUUUUCAUCAGUUAUAUAUAGAAAAUAAUGUUGAUAUACCGAUAUCACAAGUAUUUAAAAUAAUCUUUAAAAACAUGUUUGUCUUAAAUUGUGAUUUUUUUUUUCCUAGCAUUUAUUAUUUUUCAAGUCUUUUUCUGCAAAUGUAUUUUAGAAAUAGGAUCUUUCUUCAGCUACGCAGUGUCGGGCUUGCAGAGGAGAUAUCAAAUAUACUGAAAACAUCAAGAAAUGAACAAAUAUAGCAUUGAUGUUGUUGCUAACGCCUUGUGCUGUUAAUCCAAGCUAGGUUGUGGAAUUUGUCUUUAAGGCAACUGUAUAAGAGAUGACUAUUGUAACCAUCUCUAAUAAAGGUGCGACAGUUCAUGCAAGUUUGGGACAUGGUGUCAGGAAUUGCAUGGCAGAGACAAACUAAGUCUAGUUAUCAUCUUUUCAGAUGAAUUCUGUGUUGUUUAAAUAAGCACUAACCUUUUUAUAGGCUACCUGCUCCAUAUUGUUUCUCUGUCUCUUCUGGAACUGCAGAGGCUUUCACUGAUAAUCCCCCUUACUGCUAAAUAUGUUCUUGCAUUUUCUCUAACUGUGACUUCUUUGUUGCCACCUCCUCCUGGUGCCUCCACUCUUUUAGUUUGUUUCUGUAACCUAAAACAAAAAUGAUUAUUAAUUGCUAUAGCAACCUUGAAUUUGCUUGAACAAUCUUGGCAGGAGAAGAGGUACUUAGCCUGAAGAGCUAAACAGAUUGCCUAAAUGAAGGAAAGAGGAAUGGGAAUAAAGAGAAAACAAGUGCUGGUUAGUGAUACUUCACAUAUGCCUGGUUGGUUCUGCAAAUUAGUAUUUAAAAAAUAAUGAAAAGUCUACUUUCCCUCCUAACAUCUCUAAGGGGAUUAAAACCUGAAUUACAAGUUUGAGAUGUGCUUUUGGGAGGAUACAAGACUAAGAGGAAGUUAGGGAUACAAGUUAAGUGGUUACUCUGACCGGGAGUCAAGGGAUGGAGGACAGCACAGGAGACAGGAGACACUCAGAGAACGAGAGCUGGGAGAAAUAUUUAAAGUGCAUUUUCUUGGUAGAAUGCAAAUAGAAACAUGAAACAAGAGUCUAGGAGAUGUGACAAACAAGGAGGCAAUGAAAAAUACUGAAUGAAGUUUUAGAUGUAAAUGGAAUGGUGACCUAAAUAGGCUAUUUUUUUGGAGGAAGAUUCAUAAUGAGAAGAAGAGUUAUGAAAGAAAGUCAAAGAGGCUAAUAUUCUCCUUAUUCUGAAAUGAUGUGGGUAAUGUGCAUCACUGAAUGACACUUAAGGUCAUGGUCCAAACUAACUUGCGGUUCUUAGUCCUGCAGUUUCACUUGAAUGCCUGCUUUCUUUUCCACAAAUGGAGUCGAAUAGGGCAUGGUACUAAUCUCAGAAAGUAAAACCUUAAGUCAGACAUGUUCAUUUUCAAGCAUCUGACAUAAUAAAAAAAGAUAAAAAGUAAAAGAUGUUACUCCUAAAAACCUGCUUCUCCUACAAAUACCCUCCCUUGAGCGUUAUUUCUAGGCUGCAGCUCUGCGAAGUCACCCAAGGAGGUCGCUGUUUUCCCCAGUAAAUACUAUUCUUAAAAAAAAAAAAUACAGCAUAGAAACGGCAGUGAGAUGGUGUCAGAAGAGAAUAUGCUGUACUGUAUAAUUAGAACGUUUCAAAAGGUAAACAGAAUGCGAUGAUUAGGAUGCACCAGGGCUUGUUUCUCAGAGCUUUGCCUUUAUUUUUUCCCUAAAUCUCCACAGCAGCAAAGGUAAAGAACAAAAUAUACUCUAGCCGUUGUUUUUGUUUUGUUUUUUUUUUUAUUUUAUUUGUAGUAUAAAAACUCUCACUUCAUUAAGAACUUGGAUUACUGUGAGCUGUCUUUGUGUAGUUGCAACCAUGCCAAGUUUUCUGUCAAGAAAGCAUUCAGUAGUAGUUUUGGUGCUGUCUAUAAAGUGUUUGGUCUUCAUGAAAGUACCGUAGGCUAGAUGGAAUUGGCUGAAAAACUUGAAUUUGUGUAAUGACCAAUAAGCAGUUCACUGUCAGUUUUUCAUUAAUGACUGGGAAAAAAAGGUAAUCUUAGGACUCAAAAUUCAGAAUAAUGGUAAAUGGAUGGAAGUAUUGAGGUGUAUUUAGGACAAGCAAUGCUAAGCUUAGGAAAAAUCUGCUUCUAAAAGAUGCAGCUUUAUGUAUGCACACACUUCAGGUGAAAAUGUUUGUUCUCCACCUUGGAAUUUGCCUGGGGGUACAAGGUGAGUCUGCUGCACAAGGUUAUGAACUGUCAGCAAUACAGAACUGAGGACGUGGGAUCUGUGGAAAGAGCUUGCAUCAGCAGCAAGAAAUAAGAAAUAAGGCUGGGGUCCCCAUAGUCCUCCCACCACAGCCCUGGGUGUUGAGACUCCUCAGAGCAAAGGAAACUGUUCUAGAAUUUGCAGCGAUUUAAGAUGCUGCUCUCUAAGCACGUCUGAUAUCUGGGGUUGUUUUUGCUUGUUUUUUUUCAACCUCAGUCUGCUCUCACUUUAUGAAAAGGGAUAGAGGAGCACUUUGAAAGUUGGUGUAAGAUAUUUGUGUCUGGGAAUUGGAGCUUUUGCUGGGCAUUCUGUAAUGCAAAACGGGACUAGCUGCCAAGUGCCGCAGAGCAGCUUGAGCCUUUCCGUGCCUGCCUCAGCACCCAGCUUCUCUCUGCUUUGCCUCACUGCAUCUCUCAGCUUACGGAGGAGCACCUGCUUCCCGCCAAAAUGAGGGGGCUUCUGAGGAGCUCCGCGUUGUGGCCGGAGCAGAGCUUUGUGCCUGCCUGGCUGGAGGAGGCGGCCAGCUGGGUGAGAUGAGGCAGCUGAGGAUGCGGGCUCCUCGUAGCUGGGGCCCGAUUGGCCUCACGUGCUGCCCCUCGUGCGGUACUCACUGCCCUCACCUGCUGCAACACGCGGGCAGAAGUUGCUCCUGUUUUUGUCGGUCUGCUAAAAAGCCGCCACGAGCGAUGGCUUCUCCCCGUGCAUGAUUGAUACUCGGGCAAAUAACUAACUAGGAGAAUUAAGAGAAGGGCUGGAGCCACUUACGCAGCACGGCUGAGAUGAGUUUGAGUCCUGAAGGAGCUGAGUGACCUCUUCCUACAGAGAAACUGCCAUCUCACCUUCUGUGCAGCACUGGACAUCUGGCUGUAGGCUGAUGUGACUGAGAUCUGCAGGCAAACAUACCGAGAGGCCUUCUACACUGUGGGAGGGGAUUAAAAAGGCAGCAGCGCACUGGACCCCAACUCGGGGCUUUCGAGAUGGCUGGCAUUGCUACAGGAUGUAAAAAGGCUGAAACGGAGACUGGCAGGGGGAGUGCUCUAUAACAUUGCCAGCAACAUCUCACUUGCUCAACAGUUAGUGGCUCUGUGGGAUCAAAGCAGUUACAGGCAGCCAAUACUGGCUAUGUGGGAACAGUGGGAUUUUCAGUUGAGCUGCAGAAUGGGAAUGGCUUUUAGGAACUGGAAACCCAGCAAUGAAAAUGUCUCGGACAAGUCAUCGUCCUUCAAGAAAUGCCCCAGUUUUCAAACAUUACUGCUUCAAAAUGGAGCAGGCAAGCUGCUGUGUUCAAAAAAAGUUUUGGUUACAGCCCCUUGUUAGUUUAAUUUUAGUUCUUAUGAAUUGACAUAUGGCAGGCAUGAUUUUUAAUUAGAGCUUUAGCUGUGUUUUACUGGUAGGACUGCAGAGCACUGUGGAAUUUACAUUAGGAAAAAAAUGCUCUGUCGGUAGAGUACAAGGCUGUUUAGUAAUCAGAGUGGAAAGUUAACUUUGAAACAAAUUGGCAGCUGAUCAGAUAAAAUUCAAAUCGGUAACAUUUGUGUUGGAAACCAGCUCAGAUCUGGGAAAAAUGGAAUCUAAGCUAUUCUGUUCCUCUUGCAUAGAAACUGACUGGUGAACACACUGUGCACAUCAAACUUCAUGUGUAACACCCCCUAGAAAAACAAAAUUAGUACAUUUAUAGUGUUAUCUGAGCACUUAAUCUGAUUCUUUUUCACAUUAGUGUAAAAAUGUUACUUUGAAGAGAAGUUCUCUUGCAUACUUUAU